rfam:Otolemur garnettii contig070426, whole genome shotgun sequence.
GCCAGGUGCAUGGGCAUGCGCCUGUAGUCCAAGCUUCUAGGGAGGCUGAGGGGGACCAUUGCUUGAGUUCUGGGCUGUAGUGUGGUCUGCACUAAGUUUGGCAUCAGUAUGGGGAUUUCCUGGGAACAGGGGCCUACUGGGUUGCCUCAGGAGGUGUCAGCCAGCCCAGGUCGGAAAUAGAGCAGAUUAAAACCCCAUGCUGGCCAGUAGUGGGAUUGCACCUGUAAAUAUCCACUGCAUUCCAGUGUGGGCAACUUAGUGAGACCCCCAUCUU